AACGAACGCUGGCGGCAGGCCUAACACAUGCAAGUCGAGCGCGCCCUUCGGGGUGAGCGGCGGACGGGUGAGUAACGCGUGGGAACGUGCCCUUUUCUACGGAAUAGCCUCGGGAAACUGAGAGUAAUACCGUAUACGCCCUUUGGGGGAAAGAUUUAUCGGAAAAGGAUCGGCCCGCGUUGGAUUAGGUAGUUGGUGGGGUAAUGGCCUACCAAGCCGACGAUCCAUAGCUGGUGUGAGAGGAUGAUCAGCCACACUGGGACUGAGACACGGCCCAGACUCCUACGGGAGGCAGCAGUGGGGAAUCUUAGACAAUGGGGGCAACCCUGAUCUAGCCAUGCCGCGUGAGUGAUGAAGGCCUUAGGGUUGUAAAGCUCUUUCAGCUGGGAAGAUAAUGACGGUACCAGCAGAAGAAGCCCCGGCUAACUCCGUG
rnacentral:rRNA from 1 species